GUCCUUUUGGAUUUUUAUUUAAGGUCUAGUCUGCCCACUGAAUUUAAAUUUUAAAUGGCCGCAGUAUUUUGACUGUGCAAAGGUAGCAUAAUCAAUAGUUUUUUAAUUAAAAGCUUGUAUGAAAGGCUGGACGAGGUAAGAUCUGUCUCUAUUUAAAUUAAUAUAAAAUUUAACUUUUAAGUUAAAAGGCUUAAAUAUAGUUAAAAGACGAGAAGACCCUAUAGAUCUUUAUAAUUUGUUAAUUAAAGUUAAUUUAGAAAUAUUAAUGUUUUAUUUAAUUAAAUUAUUUUAUUGGGGUAAUAGAAAGAUUGAAUUAAUUCUUUUUUUUAAUAAACAUUAAUUUAUGGAUGUUAGAUGAUCCAGUUUUACUGAUUAUAAGAUUAAGUUACCUUAGGGAUAACAGCGUAAUUUUUUUAGAGAGUUCAUAUCGAUAAAAAAGUUUGCGACCUCGAUGUUGGAUUAAAGAUUAUUUUAGGUGUAGAAGCUUAAUAAUUUUGGUCUGUUCGACCAUUAAAUCUUUAC
rnacentral:rRNA from 1 species